rnacentral:rRNA from 1 species
UUGGUCAUUUAGAGGAAGUAAAAGUCGUAACAAGGUUUCCGUAGGUGAACCUGCGGAAGGAUCAUUAAAAGAAAUUGGUUAUACAUUUCAUGUAUCAACUGUUUAAACCCAUUCUGUGUACCUUGCCUGUUGCUUCCAUGGAGCCUGACUUUGGUCACUCUUGUGAUGUAAAUCCCAAGGGAGUCCCCAUGGAAGGUCAUCAAUAAAACUCAUGUAUCCAAUGUCUUCUGUCUGAACUGUUUAUAACAAUUGUUAAAACUUUCAACAACGGAUCUCUUGGUUCUCGCAUCGAUGAAGAACGCAGCGAAAUGCGAUAAGUAGUGUGAAUUGCAGAAUUCAGUGAAUCAUCGAAUCUUUGAACGCACAUUGCGCCUCCUGGUAUUCCGGGAGGCAUGCCUGUUCGAGCGUCAUUAAAUACCUCUCAAGCACCAUUGCUUGGUCAUGGAAGAUGAGUAUGCUUGCAUUCUCCCUUCUGAAAUUCAAAGGCGGAUCAUCUCAUAUUCCCUGGCGUAGUAAGUGUUUAUCUUUCGCUUGGAGUGUCUGACAGUCUUGCCAUCGACCCCCAUUAUUUCAAGGUUGACCUCGGAUCAGGUAGGGAUACCCGCUGAACUUAAGCAUAUCAAUAA